rnacentral:rRNA from 1 species
GACGAACGCUGGCGGCGUGCUUAACACAUGCAAGUCGAACGGAAAGGCCCUGCUUUUGUGGGGUGCUCGAGUGGCGAACGGGUGAGUAACACGUGAGUAACCUGCCCUUGACUUUGGGAUAACUUCAGGAAACUGGGGCUAAUACCGGAUAGGAGCUCCUGCUGCAUGGUGGGGGUUGGAAAGUUUCGGCGGUUGGGGAUGGAAUGGGGGCUUAUCAGCUUGUUGGUGAGGUAGUGGCUUACCAAGGCUUUGACGGGUAGCCGGCCUGGGAGGGUGACCGGCCACGUUGGGACGGAGAUACGGCCCAGACUCCUACGGGAGGCAGCAGUGGGGAAUAUUGCACAAUGGGCGGAAGCCUGAUGCAGCAACGCCGCGUGCGGGAUGACGGCCUUCGGGUUGUAAACCGCUUUCGCCUGUGACGAAGCGUGAGUGACGGUAAUGGGUAAAGAAGCACCGGCUAACUACGUG